AUUGAACGCUGGCGGCAUGCUUUACACAUGCAAGUCGAACGGCAGCACGGGUGCUUGCACCUGGUGGCGAGUGGCGAACGGGUGAGUAAUGCAUCGGAACGUACCUAUCAGUGGGGGAUAACACAUCGAAAGAUGUGCUAAUACCGCAUAUUAUCCGAGGAUGAAAGCGGGGGACCUUAGGGCCUCGCGCUGAUAGAGCGGCCGAUGUCGGAUUAGCUAGUUGGUGAGGUAAAGGCUCACCAAGGCGACGAUCCGUAGCGGGUCUGAGAGGAUGAUCCGCCACACUGGGACUGAGACACGGCCCAGACUCCUACGGGAGGCAGCAGUGGGGAAUUUUGGACAAUGGGCGAAAGCCUGAUCCAGCCAUGCCGCGUGAGUGAAGAAGGCCUUCGGGUUGUAAAGCUCUUUUGUCCGGGAGGAAAUCCUGACCCCUAAUACGGGUCGGGGAUGACAGUACUGGAAGAAUAAGCACCGGCUAACUACGUGCCAGCAGCCGCGGUAAUACGUAGGGUGCAAGCGUUAAUCGGAAUUACUGGGCGUAAAGCGUGCGCAGGCGGUUUUGUAAGCCAGAUGUGAAAUCCCCGAGCUUAACUUGGGAACUGCGUUUGGAACUGCAAGACUAGAGUGUGUCAGAGGGGGGUAGAAUUCCACGUGUAGCAGUGAAAUGCGUAGAGAUGUGGAGGAAUACCGAUGGCGAAGGCAGCCCCCUGGGAUAACACUGACGCUCAUGCACGAAAGCGUGGGGAGCAAACAGGAUUAGAUACCCUGUAGUC
rnacentral:rRNA from 1 species